GACGAACGCUGGCGGCGUGCUUAACACAUGCAAGUCGAACGGAAAGGCCCUGCUUUUGUGGGGUGCUCGAGUGGCGAACGGGUGAGUAACACGUGAGUAACCUGCCCUUGACUUUGGGAUAACUUCAGGAAACUGGGGCUAAUACCGGAUAGGAGCUCCUGCUGCAUGGUGGGGGUUGGAAAGUUUCGGCGGUUGGGGAUGGACUCGCGGCUUAUCAGCUUGUUGGUGGGGUAGUGGCUUACCAAGGCUUUGACGGGUAGCCGGCCUGAGAGGGUGACCGGCCACAUUGGGCCUGCGAUACGGCCCAGACUCCUACGGGAGGCAGCAGUGGGGAAUAUUGCACAGUGGGCGGAAGCCUGAUGCAGCAACGCCGCGGGCGGGAUGACGGCCUUCGGGUUGUAAACCGCUUUCGCCUGUGACGAAGCGUGAGUGACGGUAAUGGGUAAAGAAGCACCGGCUAACUACGUG
rnacentral:rRNA from 1 species